UACGAAGGGGGCUAGCGUUGCUCGGAAUCACUGGGCGUAAAGGGUGCGUAGGCGGGUCUUUAAGUCAGGGGUGAAAUCCUGGAGCUCAACUCCAGAACUGCCUUUGAUACUGAAGAUCUUGAGUGCGGGAGAGGUGAGUGGAACUGCGAGUGUAGAGGUGAAAUUCGUAGAUAUUCGCAAGAACACCAGUGGCGAGGGCGGCUCACUGGCCCGAUACUGACGCUGAGGCACGAAAGCGUGGGGAGCAAACAGG
rnacentral:rRNA from 1 species